CCUACGGGCGGCAGCAGUGAGGAAUAUUGGUCAAUGGGCGAGAGCCUGAACCAGCCAAGUCGCGUGAAGGAUGACGGCCCUACGGGUUGUAAACUUCUUUUGUCAGGGAGCAAUUGGGUCCACGCGUGGGCUUAGCGAGAGUACCUGAAGAAAAAGCAUCGGCUAACUCGGUGCCAGCAGCCGCGGUAAUACGGAGGAUGCGAGCGUUAUCCGGAUUUAUUGGGUUAAAGGGGUGCGUAGGCGGAAUAUCAAGUCAGCGGUAAAAAUUCGGGGCUCAACCCCGUCGUGCCGUUGAAACUGAUGGUCUUGAGUGGGCGAGAGGUAUGCGGAAUGCGUGGUGUAGCGGUGAAAUGCAUAGAUAUCACGCAGAACUCCGAUUGCGAAGGCAGCAUACCGGCGCCCAACUGACGCUGAAGCACGAAAGCGUGGGUAUCGAACAGGAUUAGAUACCCCAGUAGUC
rnacentral:rRNA from 1 species